UACGUAGGGUGCGAGCGUUGUCCGGAAUUACUGGGCGUAAAGAGCUCGUAGGUGGUUUGUCGCGUUGUUCGUGAAAACUCACAGCUCAACUGUGGGCGUGCGGGCGAUACGGGCAGACUGGAGUACUGCAGGGGAGACUGGAAUUCCUGGUGUAGCGGUGGAAUGCGCAGAUAUCAGGAGGAACACCGGUGGCGAAGGCGGGUCCCUGGACAACUCCUGACACUGAGGCACGAAAGCUAGGGGAGCAAACAGG
rnacentral:rRNA from 1 species